GUGCAGCAUGAGUAGCUGCUCUAUAUCACCUUUCGAGCCUGUUACAUGCGCGGGAAGGCGAGAUUAGUGCGUCUGCCCCCGGGGGUAUGAAUAACCUUAUGAUUGGUCCUCCGGCGGGUGCCUUGGUCUGGGCUGUUUUUUUCCCGGGGCGGAUAGUAGGCGAGGCAACAGUUUGGUAACGUUCAGAUUGGGUUUGGGAGUUGUAAAAUCGGUAGGGAUCGGCCCCCAUGAACAACUACGGAAAAUGCGAUAAGUAAUGUGAAUUGCAGAAUUCAGUGAAUCAUCGAAUCUUUGAACGCACAUUGCGCCCGCCAGUAUUCUGGCGGGCAUGCCUGUCCGAGCGUCAUUUCAACCCUCGAACCCCUCCGGGGGGGUCGGCGUUGGGGAUCGGCCCUGCCUUGGCGGUGGCCGUCUCCGAAAUACAGUGGGCGGUCUCGCCGCAGCCUCUCCUGCGCAGUAUUGCACACUCGCAUCGGGGAGCGCGCUCUCCAAGCCGUUAAACACCCAACUUCUGAAAUGGUUGGACCUCGGAUCAGCUAGGAAUACCCCGCUGAACUUAAGCAUAAUCGAUAAAAACAGAGAAGAAAGGG
rnacentral:rRNA from 1 species